GAUGAAGAACGUAGCGAAAUGCGAUAAGUAAUGUGAAUUGCAGAAUUCAGUGAAUCAUCGAAUCUUUGAACGCACAUUGCGCCCGUCAGUAUUCUGGCGGGCAUGCCUGUUCGAGCGUCAUUACAACCCUCAGGCCCCCGGGCCUGGCGUUGGGGAUCGGCGGAAGCCCCCUGCGGGCACAACGCCGUCCCCCAAAUACAGUGGCGGUCCCGCCGCAGCUUCCAUUGCGUAGUAGCUAACACCUCGCAACUGGAGAGCGGCGCGGCCACGCCGUAAAACACCCAACCUCUGAAUGUUGACCUCGAAUCAGGUAGGAAUACCCGCUGAACUUAAGCAUAUCAAUAAGCGGAGGA
rnacentral:misc_RNA from 1 species